rnacentral:rRNA from 1 species
GAUGAACGCUAGCUACAGGCUUAACACAUGCAAGUCGAGGGGCAGCGCAGUGUAGCAAUACAUGGGCGGCGACCGGCGCACGGGUGCGUAACGCGUAUCCAACCUUCCCGUUACUCAGGGAUAGCCUUCCGAAAGGGAGAUUAAUACCUGAUGGUGUUCAAAUUCCGCAUGUUAUUUGAACUAAAGAUUUAUCGGUAACGGAUGGGGAUGCGUGACAUUAGGUAGAUGGCGGGGUAACGGCCCACCAUGCCUACGAUGUCUAGGGGUUCUGAGAGGAAGGUCCCCCACACUGGAACUGAGACACGGUCCAGACUCCUACGGGAGGCAGCAGUGAGGAAUAUUGGGUCAAUGGUCUGACGACUGAACCAGCCAUGCCGCGUGAAGGUCACGGCCCUAUGGGUCUUAAACUUCUUUUGCGAGGGAGCAAUAAGGCGCACGUGUGCGUCGAUGAGAGUACCUCGCGAAUAAGCAUCGGCUAACUCCGUGCCAG